GUGAAUCUUCAAAAGUCGGCUCGUCGGAUUGUGCCGGUGGAGACACAUGUGCACGUCUUGCGAGUCGCAAACCCACACACCUGUGCAUCUAUGACUCUGAGUGCCGCUUUGCAUGGCCUUGAUUGGCCUGGCACUCGAGUACUUUUCACACACUCUUGAAUGUAAUGGAACGUCUUGUCGUGCGUAAUGUACAAAUCGAAA
rnacentral:misc_RNA from 1 species